GCUCCGGUGUACGAUGGAAUGCAGGUAGGGUUUUCACCCCUAUUGUUCGCGGGUUCAAUUCCCGUCCGGAGUGC
rnacentral:tRNA from 1 species